rnacentral:rRNA from 1 species
UGGGGAAUAUUGCACAAUGGGCGCAAGCCUGAUGCAGCCAUGCCGCGUGUAUGAAGAAGGCCUUCGGGUUGUAAAGUACUUUCAGCGGGGAGGAAGGGAGUAAAGUUAAUACCUUUGCUCAUUGACGUUACCCGCAGAAGAAGCACCGGCUAACUCCGUGCCAGCAGCCGCGGUAAUACGGAGGGUGCAAGCGUUAAUCGGAAUUACUGGGCGUAAAGCGCACGCAGGCGGUUUGUUAAGUCAGAUGUGAAAUCCUCGGGCUCACCCUGGGAACUGCACCUGAUACUGGCAAGCUUGAGUCUCGUAGAGGGGGGUAGAAUUCCAGGUGUAGCGGUGAAAUGCGUAGAGAUCUGGAGGAAUACCGGUGGCGAAGGCGGCCCCCUGGACGAAGACUGACGCUCAGGUGCGAAAGCGUGGGGAGCAAACAGG